rnacentral:rRNA from 1 species
UACGUAGGGCGCAAGCGUUGUCCGGAAUUAUUGGGCGUAAAGAGCUCGUAGGCGGCUUGUCACGUCGAUUGUGAAAGCCCGAGGCUUGACCUCGGGUCUGCAGUCGAUACGGGCUAGCUAGAGUGUGGUAGGGGAGAUCGGAAUUCCUGGUGUAGCGGUGAAAUGCGCAGAUAUCAGGAGGAACACCGGUGGCGAAGGCGGAUCUCUGGGCCAUUACUGACGCUGAGGAGCGAAAGCGUGGGGAGCGAACAGG